GAUGAACGCUGGCGGCGUGCCUAAUGCAUGCAAGUCGAGCGAACGGACGAGAAGCUUGCUUCUCUGAUGUUAGCGGCGGACGGGUGAGUAACACGUGGAUAACCUACCUAUAAGACUGGGAUAACUUCGGGAAACCGGAGCUAAUACCGGAUGAUAUUUUGAACCGCAUGGUUCAAAAGUGAAAGACGGUCUUGCUGUCACUUAUAGAUGGAUCCGCGCUGCAUUAGCUAGUUGGUAAGGUAACGGCUUACCAAGGCAACGAUGCAUAGCCGACCUGAGAGGGUGAUCGGACACACUGGAACUGAGACACGGUCCAGACUCCUACGGGAGGCAGCAGUAGGGAAUCUUCCGCAAUGGGCGAAAGCCUGACGGAGCAACGCCGCGUGAGUGAUGAAGGUCUUAGGAUCGUAAAACUCUGUUAUUAGGGAAGAACAUAUGUGUAAGUAACUGUGAACAUCUUGACGGUACCUAAUCAGAAAGCCACGGCUAACUACGUG
rnacentral:rRNA from 1 species